GCAAGGAUGUGGAGGGUGAAAGCGGGCUCGCAGACACGGUGUUGGAACCUAAUCCUCAACGUGGUGGUAGGUUUACCACCUGAAGCAGAGAACAGCCCUCACCAGAUACUGAACCAGCUGGUGCCUUAACAUUGGACUUCCAGCCUCCAGAACUGUGAGAUGUGACAGCCAUCACACCCACUCUGAAUUUCCUGACAGGCAUAAUAGAAUUGAAGACACAGUGGAUAACGACAGAGCCUCGUGUACUGCUAACAGGUACAGAAGCCAAAUAGCCACUCUAGGGAGUUCUGGUUGUUGUUUUGGUUUUGUUUUGUUUUUAAGAGAUGAGGUCUCACUCUGUGGCCCAGGCUGGAGUGCAGUGGCACAAUCAUAGCUCACGACAACCUGGAACUUCUAGGCUCAAGCGAUCCUCCCACUUCAGCGUCCUGAGUAGCUGGGACUACAGGCGUGUGCCACCAUACCCGGCUAAUUUUAUUUAUUUAUUUUUGUGGAGACAGGGGUCUUGCUAUGCUACCCAGGCUGGUCUCGAACUCCUGGCCUCAAGAGAUCCUGCCCCAGCUUCCCGAGUGGAUUUCUGUUUUUUAAUGGCUAUUUCCUUUUCCCCCUGACAUUUACAAAAUGCUUACAUAUGCCAGGCACUAUGUUUAGUGCUUACUUGGAUUCUCUCAUUUAACCCUCAAGUAAUUCUCUAAGGAAAGUACUAUCAUGUCACCCCCAUCUGAGAGGACUGAGGCUCAGUGAGGUCCCGUGAGGUCACAGAAACAGCUUUUAAACUGUGUCAAGAUAGCCAGAGCUGGAACAGCAGAGCUACGCUGAUUGCCCACUGGACACGGAAAAGCGGCUUCUCUCACACGAAGGUGUGUUCAGCAGGUUUCCCUAGGUUAAAGGAGAAAGGCUGGAUGCAGGAUAGAAAGAAAAAUGCUUUGCUCCAUGAAGGUGGAUUCUGAAGGGUGUAUUUGACUGAGGAGACAACUGUAAAGUCCCUUGGGAAUUGGUCCUUGCUCUGAUUUUUGCCACCAAAGUACUGCUGUCAAACAGAUUCAAACGGGUUUCACAAUUAAUGUGAAGAGGCUCCGGUUACACCGCAAAUGAGUGUGAUUGCUCCUCAGGAUUAAGGAUGUUUUUCUGUGGCUGAACUGAAGCAUCUGUCCUCAGGGCUGGAGGCUGGGUAUCACCACAGCUGACCUCCUCUCCAUGAUGGCAACAGCGCCCUCACAUGCUAUGUACAAU
rnacentral:lncRNA from 10 species